rnacentral:rRNA from 1 species
AUGAGAACGAACCUGAAUGUUCAUUCCUGGCUUAGUAUAUUGAGCAGGUGCAGGAGACUAGUUGAUAGAAACCUCUCCAUGUUUGGUGAGCAUCCAAAAUUACGUCUUGAAAAAGGUCUUCCAAUCGACGUGACGGACAUGCUUCUGUGUCCUGCUUCUCCACUUCAGUUCAUUUGGAAUAGCUCAAACAAUGUUCCAGCAAAGGAAUUACCACAGGUGACCUUUACAGAGCUGUUAGUGGAUCUUAGUCCGAAGAUGCAGGCCACUGUAGUUAGAUUUGAAUCAAGAAUUCCACCUUAUACUACAUUUGAUCACAUUCUUUCAAGUUAUGUUCAAGAUACUCCUCUGACCGGGACCAAGCGUAGAGGAGUGCCUUAA